CGAUUCGAUAGAAAACAUUAAAUCUUGCAACGCCCCAAAUUCAUUCAGUCAAAAACAAAAUGGCUUCCAUGGCUGCGCAACUUCUCGAUGAAUUAAUGGGGCGAAAUAGAAAUGCCCUUCCAACAGAUCGAACGAAAGAAUUAUCUUACAAUGACGCCGAGGUGUGUAGGUACUAUAUGGUUAGGUUUUGCCCACAUGAUUUGUUCCAUAACACGAAAGCAGAUUUAGGUCCAUGUCCAAAUCUUCAUGACGAAGCUGUGAGACAGAAAUACCUUAACGAGGCACCUUCAUACACAAAGACAAAAUUUGAGGAUGAGUUUCUCAAGUACUGUCGAUCUAUGCUAAAUGAAGUUGAGCGCAAAAUUCAAAAGGGUGAACAACGACUUGCCCAAUCACAAUUGGCCAAACAAGAAGCUGGUGCUAAUCCCAAAUCUAAAGCAGAAGAACAGAUUGCUUUGCUAACUGACAAGAUUAGUCAUCUGGUGAAGGAAGCUGAACGUCUAGGAUUUGAAGGCAACAUUGAACAAGCUCAAGGACUGUUGAAACUUAGUGACCAAUUCAAGAGUGAACGAGAAGCUCUAAAGAAAGGGGAAGGCCUUUCAUUUGCAACAGAACUGAUGCUAGAAAAACAAAUGGAAGUCUGCAAAGUCUGUGGUGCUUUUUUAAUUGUUGGUGAUGCCCCAGCUCGACUUGAUGAUCACAUGCAAGGAAAACAACACGUUGGUUACCAGAAAUUGCGUUCGGCAGUAGACGAGAUUACGGAGAGUCGCGAGAAGGCUCGCCAGGAUCGAGAAAUGCAACGCCAGAAAGAAGCUGAAGACCGACGCGGCCGGCGCCACGACGACGAUUCACGACGUCAUCAUGGAAAAGAGCGCGAAAGUGGUAGCCGCAAGCGCUCUCGUUCCCGCUCACCUAAACAUCGCACCUCAAGUCACCACGGCGAUCGACGGGAUAGAGGCGAAAGAAGUGACCGCGGUCGAGGCGAGCACGAUCGCCACCGAGAUAAAGAUCGGGGUCAUAGCAGAGAUCACCGAGACAGAAAGCGAGACGACAGACCGCGCGACCGAGAUCGCUCAGCACACAACGGUUCAAAGGAGAAUGGGGCAGGGAUUCAAUAGUUAUAACAGUGUAGGAGAAGGAGCAGCAGUACGAAGUCAAAAAAGUCAUCUAAGAUGAGGUAGCUUCAUCGUAUUUCAGGUAAGUGGUUUCACUUCAUGAAGUGAGUUAAUGGUUAUCCACUUGCCCCCUCAUGGUUUAGCGAAACCGCGCCAGGUAAGUGUCGUUGGGGCUGUGUAUUUCGAUGACGGAGCAUAAAGAGCUACUACAAUGCGCCGGAUUUUCUUUCCUUUUUUUUCCUUAACGGGCGAAUAAAUUGGGGUGGUCCGGUAAAGAGGGAAGGGAAGAACUCGUGAUUUGCUUUUGUGUUGUUCGACAUCCAGAGUGUUGUGUGUGUGUGUGAGUGAAACUGUGAGAGGGGAUCGUACACAAUCGCAGAGGCACAAUCAAUCGCUUCGGACUGUCAAAAAGCUGGGAAAAUUGAUUCAAUUGCAGGUCCGGACUAAAAAAAAAAAAAUGUUGAAGCCUUGUUGUCAGACGCUCAUUUACGGAUCCCUUUGGGCGUCUCAGUUUGUUCUCUUCGCCUCAAGUCGCUGCUGCUGUCAAGCAAGGUGACACGUUAUUUGUAUUCCUUUUUUUUCUUGUUUUUCUUCCUCGAAAUUCUUUUCGUGCUCCCACGAUUUUGAACUUUUUCAUUAUCAUCAAAACCAUUCAUUUCUUUUGUCCCUUUACAGUUUUUUUUUUUCAUUUUUAUUUUGGAAUGUUGGUAUCUUUCUUUACGUAUCCUAUGAUUGCAUUAUACCACAACACAUUCCUCAGUUUGAAUUUAAAACUUGCUGCUGUGUGAGAAGAUAAUGCAUUAGUGUGAAGUUGCUUGGAAAUACAUGUUAGUCUUCAACAAGAA
rnacentral:misc_RNA from 1 species